UGAUUCCCAUACAUGCCGAGCCCACAGAGUGCCUCCCCAGACUGCUGCUUACUCCUUGAGAAGCACACAUCUGCCUGGCCAGAUAAGAACCUGUCACUACAGCAGGGAGGGAAAAUGAGAUAUUGGAGAAGACAGAGAAAGACAAAGGGAAAAGGAUACUUCUGGAUAUUUCAAAGAUGUCUAAACUUCACUUCCAGAUUUCCCUGGCAUGCUCAUCAAUUUCAUGUUAAGAAUUAUAAGCAACUUAUUUUUUCAUCUUCUCUCCAACCGGAGUAGAGCUAUGCAUCUACAAGUGGAGCUGUCAUUCUGCCUCCCAAGUACCUCUUCUGGAAGAGACCUUAAAAUGCAUUGUUUUGUGUAAAAAAGCAUUCAUUGCUUUGCUCCCAGCUGCAGCUGAUGUAGUAGGAGAGAGCUGCUCACCCUUAGUUUACAGACCAGUUUGGCCACACAGCUUGCUAGGUAAAGACAGGCCAGCACACUCAGAUUGGUGCCAGGAAUAUUGCUGCUGAUUGUGCUUACCAAACCAUGUUAUGUCAGCUGCAUCCAUGUCAGAGGAGCAUGUGCAAGACCAGUUACAGCUAAUAAGCCUCUAUCUGAGGGAAAAAAUGAGACCAGAGUGAGAUUUAUGACAAUUUCAAGCACAGAAUAAGCAGUAUGAACAGAUGAGCCUCAAAGAAUGGUAAGGUCCUCUUUACAUACAAAUAUUUUUUGGGGGGAGGGGAGUGAAAAAGGAAUAAAAUCAGAAAAUAAUAGAAUGAAUUAUAGCAAAUACUCUUUCUAAGUAAAGUCGUUUUGCAUUUCCCAUGGGAGUCAGUUGAAUGAGAGAAGACAAAAAAAAAAGGAAGAGUAGAAACUGCUUGCAACACAGAACAAACCUUGAGUGCCAAGAACAUGCUCCAGAUUUUUUUAAAGAUGCCUGGCUCUUAUCUCAGCCUUGAUUCAUCACAGUUUACUCCCAGAAUUAUUCAGAAUUCAAGGACCUUGCUCCUGUGGGGUUAAUGGGUUACAUUCAGCAUUGAAACCCAUGACACAAAUAGCUGCUUAAUUAUUCACUCGAAGAUGGUUUUAGUGGCUAAUCUAAAUAAAAACAGCAACAGCAAAAAUUACAUUGUUUUACCUUCUGUAGGUGAAAUGAUUUUUUCUUUUAACUGUAUAAUCCAGGACCGUGCACAGGCAGGAGGGGGCCCGUAAAAAGGAGGGGUUGUGCUGCUUGUGACACAAAAGAUUAGCAUGCUCAUGACUGAAGAGGAGGAAAAGGAAAACACUGCCAUAAAAGUGACAGUCGAGGUGAAGAAUUGUGGUGAAUGUGUAAUGCACCACUGAAAAGAUGCAGAAGAAAACAUACCAAACUGGAAGUCUUAUCAUAUCUAUCCUGCUAUUCCAAAGCACGAAUUAAUUUGAAAGGAAGAAGCUGCUGUUCUCGUUGGCUCACAUAAUUUGUUCAUAAAC